rnacentral:rRNA from 1 species
CCUACGGGAGACAGCAGUGAGGAAUAUUGGUCAAUGGACGAGAGUCUGAACCAGCCAAGUAGCGUGAAGGAUGACUGCCCUAUGGGUUGUAAACUUCUUUUAUAUGGGAAUAAAAUGUUCCACGUGUGGGAUUUUGUAUGUACCAUAUGAAUAAGGAUCGGCUAACUCCGUGCCAGCAGCCGCGGUAAUACGGAGGAUCCGAGCGUUAUCCGGAUUUAUUGGGUUUAAAGGGAGCGUAGGUGGAUUGUUAAGUCAGUUGUGAAAGUUUGCGGCUCGACCGUAAAAGUGCAGUUGAAACUGGCAGUCUUGAGUACAGUAGAGGUGGGCGGAAUUCGUGGUGUAGCGGUGAAAUGCUUAGAUAUCACGAAGAACUCCGAUUGCGAAGGCAGUUCACUGGACUGCAACUGACACUGAGGCUCGAAAGUGUGGGUAUCAAACAGGAUUAGAUACCCGGGUAGUC